GUUGGAUAUGAUAGAUGACAACAGUAAUACAUUUUAAAGGGUAAACACGACCUGAUCUUCUGUCAACUGUUAGAUAAGAGGCCAUUCAAGAAGUCAUGUUUGAUGAAAUAAAGUUCAAAAGAUGCCAUGACCGCACACUUGUAAAGAUAACACAUGAGUACUACUGCUGUUUUAUGAUCUCAUCUGUUCUUCGCUGGUUUAAUACUAAGAAUCUGGGAGUCAGUUCUUACCACACACAAAGCAGAAGCACCAUGCUGACUGGUAAUGGAUUUUCAUUUGCAAAUAAAAUAGGGGCAAACCAGUUUAUUUGCACUUGUGGGGAUUAAAACAAAUCACUAAUGAAGUCGGGACUUCAUUUAGAGGCUCUGUGUGCUCAGUGGAGCUUUUCAGUUCACUGAACUGGAUGUUUUUUUGCUUUUGCCAGCACUAAAGAAAAACCUUUAAUCACCACACACAAGACACCCACCAACAUUUCUGCAAGUAAGAGUGCUGUAGCAGUCUUGAUUAACUGGGACACUUGCUUUCAUACGUCUGCAAAGUGACCAACACAAUGGUUUUGGAUGACUUCUAAUUCCUGACUUCUACACUGCUGGAAUUUGACAUAUGACUUUUUCUUUAAUUAACCUAAAAGGAUCCAUUUAGUUCACUAUCUACCCGACACUUUGGUUUAUCCAGGAAAAUUUUCUAUACAGUUUAGAAACUGCAUUUACUCUACAUCAACAGAUAGUUAGACUUUUGUGCAUGUCUGUAAAUUAAAUUCAAUGCUGCAACCGGAGGCUUAUUAGCUUAGUUCAGCAUAAUGACUGUAAACAUUUGCUGAAAGCUACUUAAAUGGUUCACCACCAAAAAGUUCUCCAACAAAAACAAGUCUUUAAAACCCAAUUUUUGUUUUCACACUUUUUGUGAGGAACAAUUAAAUGAACAAAAUGUAAAAUUCUGUAAAAAAUAUGAUCUACUGAAUCAGAUUUUGAUGUGAAAGAUGAAUUAAAGCUACAGUAGGGUACUUUUAGUGUCAUCUUGUCCUUCAUACAACAUGGUAUUUCUUGAUAUUAACAAUUAAUUUUGUUUUCUUUUGACGGUCUUCUUUGUCAAUAUGAAAAUCUGCGGUCCAAAAUGUCAAGAAAGUGUGUUGUCAGUGUUCCUGACUGAGCAGUACACCUCACAGCAGUUCCAGGUGUUAAAAAUUACGAUAAAGAACUUGCCACUCUUGUUGCUGGUGGUCUUGUCUGCCAAUAAAGAUGAUUAGGAAGCAUCAAGUAUCCAUGUCAAUAUGUUUCACAAGCAGUUAAAGCCCUCAUCAGAGCU